AUUUAUAUAGUUUAAUUUAGAAUAAUAAUUUGUGGUAUUAUAGGUGCAUAUUUAAUUCGCUAUAAAUC
rnacentral:tRNA from 1 species